rnacentral:rRNA from 1 species
AGCGAACGCUGGCGGCAGGCCUAACACAUGCAAGUCGAACGAACCUUUCGGGGUUAGUGGCGGACGGGUGAGUAACACGUGGGAACGUGCCUUUAGGUUCGGAAUAACUCAGGGAAACUUGUGCUAAUACCGAAUGUGCCCUUCGGGGGAAAGAUUUAUCGCCUUUAGAGCGGCCCGCGUCUGAUUAGCUAGUUGGUUGAGGUAAUGGCUCACCAAGGCGACGAUCAGUAGCUGGUCUGAGAGGAUGAUCAGCCACAUUGGGACUGAGACACGGCCCAAACUCCUACGGGAGGCAGCAGUGGGGAAUCUUGCGCAAUGGGCGAAAGCCUGACGCAGCCAUGCCGCGUGAAUGAUGAAGGUCUUAGGAUUGUAAAAUUCUUUCACCGGGGACUAUAAUGACGGUACCCGGAGAAGAAGCCCCGGCUAACUUCGUG